UCGACCUCAGAUCAGGUAGGAAUACCCGCUGAACUUAAGCAUAUCAAUAAGCGGAGGAAAAGAAACCAACAGGGAUUGCCUCAGUAGCGGCGAGUGAAGCGGCAAGAGCUCAGAUUUGAAAUCUCACCUAGUGUGCGAG
rnacentral:rRNA from 1 species